GCCAGGUGUGGUGGCGGGUGCCUAUAGCCCCAGCUACUCAGGAGGUAGAGGCUGGAGGAGCGCUUGAGUCCAAUAGUUCUGGCCUGUAGUGCGCUACGCCGAUCGGGUGUCUGCACUAAAAUUCAGCAUCAAUAUGGUGACCUCCCAGGAGCGGGGGACCACCAGGUUGCCAAAGGAGGGGUGAACCAGCCCAGGUCAGAAACAGAGCAGGUCAAAACUCCCGUGCUGAUUAGUAGUGGAAUGUGCCUGUGAAUAGCCACUGCACUCCAGCCUGGGCAACACAGCGAGAUCCCAUCUCCA
ensembl:misc_RNA Metazoa_SRP Metazoan signal recognition particle RNA